rnacentral:rRNA from 1 species
UACCAGCACCCCGAGUGGUCGGGACGAUUAUUGGGCCUAGAGCAUCCGUAGCCGGUCCUGCAAGUCUUCCGUUAAAUCCAGCUGCUCAACAGAUGGGCUGCGGGAGAUACUACAGGGCUAGGAGGCGGGAGAGGCAAGCGGUACUUUAUGGGUAGGGGUAAAAUCCGCUGAUCCAUAGAAGACCACCAGUGGCGAAGGCGGCUUGCCAGAACGCGCUCGACGGUGAGGGAUGAAAGCUGGGGGAGCAAACCGG